rnacentral:lncRNA from 1 species
CAACCCUUUGGCUCUUUUUAAAAAUAAGCCUGGAGCCUUAUUCCUUCCACUCUAAAAGUUUCUUUGUGCUAGGUUAUAGAGUUAAGUCUUUGCUGAUUCCUGCUUCUCUUUGCAAGAGGAAAAGCCCGUUGAAUCCUGCAGGAUAGCCAUUUAUGCUGGAAUUAUCCUUGAGGACAGUAAUUGCACGCCUCGAGCUGUGGCUAAGGAGUUUAAUGACACGUGGGUUUGUAUUAUUUUUGGCCUAUUCUUUGAUGUGAAAUGAAAAAAAUAAAAUUCUUUCUUUCUCUAAUAGAACACAAGAGUAAGGGCAUGGAUGGGGGCAUCACGGUGACCAGCGAAGACAACGGGGAGGCGGAGGGUGACGGAGAGGCCGUUGGCAAAGGAGAGAGAGAGGAGGAGGGCAAGGAAGAAAGGAGAGCAUAAAGAUCAGGAGGAUUUUUUAGAUUUCAGUUGGUCUUUUUUCUUCCUUCCCAUUAUCACCAGUGUCGGCCUUCCCCUCCUAUCUCCCUCAGGUGCUUUGAUUUUCAUAGAUCUCUAAAAAAGAUUAAAAAAUAAAAAAUACCCAACACAAAAUCCCAGCC